UUUGAGCCGCGCAGUUGCAG
rnacentral:misc_RNA from 1 species